rnacentral:rRNA from 1 species
GAUGAACGCUGACAGAAUGCUUAACACAUGCAAGUCUUUGGCGAAGCUGUGCUUGCACAGCCUAGCCAAGGCGGACGGGUGAGUAACGCGUAAGGAACUUGCCCUGCAGUCAGGGAUAACAGACGGAAACGACUGAUAAGACCUGGUAAAGUCAGGCGGACUCAUGUCCAGCCUGAUGAAAAGUGAUGCUGCAGGAGAGCCUUGCGUCCUAUUAGCUUGUUGGUGGGGUAACGGCCCACCAAGGCGAUGAUAGGUAGCCGGCCUGAGAGGGUGGACGGCCGCAAGGGGACUGAGAUCCGGCCCUUACUCCUACGGGAGGCAGCAGUGGGGAAUAUUGGACCAUGGGGGCAACCCUGAUCCAGCAAUUCUGUGUGCACGAUGAAGGUUUUCGGAUUGUAAAGUGCUUUCAGCAGGGAAGAAAAAAAUGACGUUACCUGCAGAAGAAGCGACGGCUAAAUACGUG